rfam:Schistosoma haematobium scaffold1851_5, whole genome shotgun sequence.
AUCAAUCUGACGAGUCUCAAAUAGCACGAAACUCGUGUCAUGGAU